UACGGGGGGGAGCAGGCGUUGUUCGGAUUUACUGGGCGUAAAGGGCGCGUAGGCGGGCGCAACAAGUCACUUGUGAAAUCUCCGGGCUUAACUCGGAAAGGUCAAGUGAUACUGUUGUGCUAGAGUGCGGAAGGGGCAACUGGAAUUCUCGGUGUAGCGGUGAAAUGCGUAGAGAUCAGCAGGAACACCGGAGGCGUAAGCGAUGACCUGGCCGAAUACUGACGCUGAGGAACGAAAGCGUGGGGAGCAAACAGG
rnacentral:rRNA from 1 species